rnacentral:rRNA from 1 species
AGAUUAAGUUAUUAAGGGCGCACGGUGGAUGCCUUGGCACUAGAAGCCGACGAAGGACGUUACUAACGACGAUAUGCUUUGGGGAGCUGUAAGUAAGCUUUGAUCCAGAGAUUUCCGAAUGGGGAAACCCAGCACGAGUUAUGUCGUGUUAUCGAUAUGUGAAUACAUAGCAUAUCUGAAGGCAGACGCGGAGAACUGAAACAUCUUAGUACCCGCAGGAAGAGAAAGAAAAAUCGAUUCCCUGAGUAGCGGCGAGCGAAACGGGAAGAGCCCAAACCAAUGAGCUUGCUUGUUGGGGUUGUAGGACACUCUAUACGGAGUUACAAAAGAACAGACUAGACGAAUCAUCUGGAAAGAUGAAUCAAAGAAGGUAAUAAUCCUGUAGUCGAAAGUUUGUUCACUCUUGAGUGGAUCCUGAGUACGACGGAACACGAGAAAUUCCGUCGGAAUCUGGGAGGACCAUCUCCCAAGGCUAAAUACUCUCUAGUGACCGAUAGUGAACCAGUACCGUGAGGGAAAGGUGAAAAGUACCCCGGAAGGGGAGUGAAAUAGAACUUGAAACCGUGUGCUUACAAGUAGUCAGAGCCCGUUAAUGGGUGAUGGCGUGCCUUUUGUAGAAUGAACCGGCGAGUUACGAUUUGAUGCAAGGUUAAGCAGUGAAUGUGGAGCCGUAGCGAAAGCGAGUCUGAAUAGGGCGUUGAGUAUUUGGUCGUAGACCCGAAACCAGGUGAUCUACCCAUGACCAGGUUGAAGUUCAGGUAACACUGAAUGGAGGACCGAACCGACUUACGUUGAAAAGUGAGCGGAUGAGUUGUGGGUAGCGGAGAAAUUCCAAUCGAACCUGGAGAUAGCUGGUUCUCUCCGAAAUAGCUUUAGGGCUAGCCUCAAGUGAUGAUUAUUGGAGGUAGAGCACUGUUUGGACGAGGGGCCCUUAUCGGGUUACCGAAUUCAGACAAACUCCGAAUGCCAAUCAAUUUAACUUGGGAGUCAGAACGCGGGUGAUAAGGUCCGUGUUCGAAAGGGAAACAGCCCAGACCACCAGCUAAGGUCCCAAAAUAUAUGUUAAGUGGAAAAGGAUGUGGCGUUGCCCAGACAACUAGGAUGUUGGCUUAGAAGCAGCCAUCAUUUAAAGAGUGCGUAAUAGCUCACUAGUCGAGUGACACUGCGCCGAAAAUGUACCGGGGCUAAACAUAUUACCGAAGCUGUGGAUUGUCCGUAAGGACAAUGGUAGGAGAGCGUUCUAAGGGCGUUGAAGCAUGAUCGCAAGGACAUGUGGAGCGCUUAGAAGUGAGAAUGCCGGUGUGAGUAGCGAAAGACGGGUGAGAAUCCCGUCCACCGAUUGACUAAGGUUUCCAGAGGAAGGCUCGUCCGCUCUGGGUUAGUCGGGUCCUAAGCUGAGGCCGAUAGGCGUAGGCGAUGGAUAACAGGUUGAUAUUCCUGUACCACCAUUAUUCGUUUUAAGCGAUGGGGGGACGCAGUAGGAUAGGCGAAGCGUACGAUUGGAUUGUACGUCCAAGCAGUGAGAUUGAGUGUUAGGCAAAUCCGGCACUCUUAAGAUUGAGCUGUGAUGGGGAGAGGAAAUUGUUUCCUCGAGUCGUUGAUUUCACACUGCCGAGAAAAGCCUCUAGCUAGAAUUGUGGUGCCCGUACCGCAAACCGACACAGGUAGUCAAGAUGAGAAUUCUAAGGUGAGCGAGCGAACUCUCGUUAAGGAACUCGGCAAAAUGACCCCGUAACUUCGGGAGAAGGGGUGCUCUUUAGGGUUAACGCCCAGGAGAGCCGCAGUGAAUAGGCCCAAGCGACUGUUUAUCAAAAACACAGGUCUCUGCUAAACCGUAAGGUGAUGUAUAGGGGCUGACGCCUGCCCGGUGCUGGAAGGUUAAGAGGAGUGGUUAGCUUCUGCGAAGCUACGAAUCGAAGCCCCAGUAAACGGCGGCCGUAACUAUAACGGUCCUAAGGUAGCGAAAUUCCUUGUCGGGUAAGUUCCGACCCGCACGAAAGGCGUAACGAUUUGGGCACUGUCUCAACGAGAGACUCGGUGAAAUCAUAGUACCUGUGAAGAUGCAGGUUACCCGCGACAGGACGGAAAGACCCCGUGGAGCUUUACUGUAGUCUGAUAUUGAAAUUCGGCACAGCUUGUACAGGAUAGGUAGGAGCCUGAGAUACGUGAGCGCUAGCUUACGUGGAGGCGUUGGUGGGAUACUACCCUCGCUGUGUUGGAUUUCUAACCCGCACCAUUUAUCAUGGUGGGAGACAGUGUCAGAUGGGCAGUUUGACUGGGGCGGUCGCCUCCUAAAGAGUAACGGAGGCGCUCAAAGGUUUCCUCAGAAUGGUUGGAAAUCAUUCAUAGAGUGUAAAGGCAUAAGGAAGCUUGACUGCGAGACUUACAAGUCGAGCAGGGUCGAAAGACGGACUUAGUGAUCCGGUGGUUCCGCAUGGAAGGGCCAUCGCUCAACGGAUAAAAGCUACCCCGGGGAUAACAGGCUUAUCUCCCCCAAGAGUUCACAUCGACGGGGAGGUUUGGCACCUCGAUGUCGGCUCAUCGCAUCCUGGGGCUGUAGUCGGUCCCAAGGGUUGGGCUGUUCGCCCAUUAAAGCGGUACGCGAGCUGGGUUCAGAACGUCGUGAGACAGUUCGGUCCCUAUCCGUCGUGGGCGUAGGAAAUUUGAGAGGAGCUGUCCUUAGUACGAGAGGACCGGGAUGGACAUACCUCUGGUGUACCAGUUGUCGUGCCAACGGCAUCGCUGGGUAGCUAUGUAUGGACGGGAUAAGUGCUGAAAGCAUCUAAGCAUGAAGCCCCCCUCAAGAUGAGAUUUCCCAACUUCGGUUAUAAGAUCCCUCAAAGAUGAUGAGGUUAAUAGGUUCGAGGUGGAAGCAUAGCGAUAUGUGCAGCUGACGAAUACUAAUCGAUCGAAGACUUAAUCAAAUUUUA